GACGAACGCUGGCGGCGUGCUUAACACAUGCAAGUCGAGCGGUAAGGCCCUUUCGGGGGUACACGAGCGGCGAACGGGUGAGUAACACGUGGGUGACCUGCCCUUAGCUCUGGGAUAAGCCUGGGAAACUGGGUCUAAUACCGGAUAUGACUCCAUGACGCAUGUUGUGGGGUGAAAAGCCUUGUGCGGCUAGGGAUGGGCCCGCGGCCUAUCAGCUUGUUGGUGGGGUGANGGCCUACCAAGGCGACGACGGGUAGCCGGCCUGAGAGGGCGACCGGCCACACUGGGACUGAGACACGGCCCAGACUCCUACGGGAGGCAGCAGUGGGGAACCUUGCGCAAUGGGCGAAAGCCUGACGCAGCGACGCCGCGUGGGGAUGACGGCCU
rnacentral:rRNA from 1 species